AUGAUGAGGAGGGGAAGAGAGAUGGUGCAAGGUCCCCGUUGCGUCGCGUUGCUCCUGCUCGUCUGCAUGGCUGCUCUCGUGGCCUCGGACACCACCGACGGCCUCCUGCCGAACGGCAACUUCGAGGAAGCGCCGGACAGGUCGCAGAUGGACGGGACAAGGGUGACGGGCCGCUACGCGAUACCGCGGUGGGAGGCCUGUGGGUGCGUGGAGUACAUCUGCUCGGGCCAGAAGCAGGGGGACAUGGUCCUGCCGGUCCCGGAGGGCGCCUACGCUGUGCGGCUGGGCAACGACGCCUCCGUCCAGCAGCAGCUCAGCGUGACGCCGGGGACGCACUACGCGAUCACCUUCAGCGCGGUGCGCACGUGCGCUCAGACCGAGAAGCUGAACGUGACGGUCGCGGCCGAGUCCGGCGAGCUCCCCAUCCAGACGGUGUACAGCAGCAGCGGCUGGGAUUCCUACUGCUGGGCGUUCGAGGCCAAGGACAGCGUCGUGUCGCUCACCGUCCAUAACCCUGGAUACGAUGAAGACGCCGCCUGCGGCCCCCUCGUCGACUCCUUCGCCAUCAGGACUCUCCUGCCACCCCAACAAAGCAACUAUAACAUGCUGAAGAACGGGGGCUUCGAGGAGGGCCCGUACAUCUGCCCCAGCACGUCGUGCGGGGUGAUGGUGCCGCCCAUGGACGAGGACAGGUACUCCCCGCUGUCGCCGUGGGUGAUCAUGUCGUCGACCAAGUCCGUCAGGUACGUGGACGCGGCGCACUACGCGGUGCCGCAGGGCGCCCGGGCCGUGCAGCUGGUGUUCGGCGCGGAGAGCGCGCUGGUGCAGGAGGUGUGCACCGUGCCAGGGCUGUCGUACAAGAUGGAGUUCUCGGUCGGGGAUGCGGCCGACGGGUGCAUGGGCUCCCUGGCCGUCGAUGCCUACGCGGGAAGCGGGAGGGUGACGGUCCCGUAUGAAUCCAAGGGCACGGGCGGGUUCACGCGCGGCGUGCUCGAGUUCACGGCGACGGAGGACCGGACGCGGGUGGUGUUCGUCAGCGCGAGCUACAACAUGAAGUCCGACGGCACGGUCUGCGGGCCUGUCGUCGACGACGCCUCGCUCGUCUGCGCGCAGAGCCAUGCUCGCCGGCUGCUUCUGUGA
rnacentral:rRNA from 1 species